rnacentral:misc_RNA from 1 species
UCCGGUUUGUCACCGGCAGUCUCCUGCGAGUCCCCGCCAUUACGCGCUGGCAACACAGGACAAGGGUUGCGCUCGUUGCGGGACUUAACCCAACAUCUCACGACACGAGCUGACGACAGCCAUGCAGCACCUGUGCAGGAGUCCCGAAGGACACCGUAUCUCUACGGCUUUUCCGUACAUGUCAAGCCUUGGUAAGGUUCUUCGCGUUGCAUCGAAUUAAGCAACAUGCUCCGCCGCUUGUGCGAGCCCCCGUCAAUUCCUUUGAGUUUUAGCCUUGCGGCCGUACUCCCCAGGCGGGGCACUUAAUGCGUUAGCUACGGCACGGAACCCGUUGAAAAGGUCCCACACCUAGUGCCCAACGUUUACGGCGUGGACUAC